rnacentral:rRNA from 1 species
UACGUAGGCAGCAAGCGUUGUUCGGAGUUACUGGGCGUAAAGGGUGCGUAGGCGGUCUUAUAAGUAUGGUGUGAAAUCUCCCGGCUUAACUGGGAGGGUGCGCUGUAGACUGUGAGGCUAGAGUGUGGGAGAGGAAAGUGGAAUUCCUGGUGUAGCGGUGAAAUGCGUAGAUAUCAGGAGGAACACCGGUGGUGUAAACGGCUUUCUGGACCAUAACUGACGCUGAGGCACGAAAGCGUGGGUAGCAAACAGG